rnacentral:rRNA from 1 species
AUGGCGUUCAUGGCGGCCAUGAUCACUGCCAUCGCCUCGGCUGUCUCGGUGUUGUUGCUGAGGGCGCUAUGGGUGACCCUAUCUUGCUACUUCCUGACGCCAAUGAGUAUCCGUAGAACCAUGGCGGCGCAGGGUGUUCACGGUCCCUCGCCGCGCCCGCUCGUCGGCAACCUACGCCAGGUGUCGGCCCUCGUUGCGGAGGCGAACGCCGGCGCCAUGACGUCCCUGAGCCACGACAUCGUCGGCCGCCUCAUGCCCCAUUACGUGCUCUGGUCGGAGACAUACGGGAAGCUCUUCGUGUACUGGUACGGGAGCGAGCCGCGGCUGUGCCUGACGGACACGGACAUGAUCAAGGAGUUCCUGUCGUCCAAGUACGCCCACGCCACCGGCAAGUCGUGGCUGCAGCGGCAGGGUACGAAGAACUUCAUCGGCCGCGGCCUGCUCAUGGCCAACGGCGCCAGGUGGUCCCACCAGCGGCACGUCGUCGCGCCGGCGUUCAUGCCUGACAAGCUCAAGGGGCGUGUGGGGCACAUGGUGGAGUGCACGAAGCAGACGAUCCUGUCGCUGCGGGAUGCGGCGGCGCGGGGCCGCGGCGAGGUGGAGAUCGGCGGCCACAUGACCCGGCUCACCGGCGACAUCAUCUCCCGGACCGAGUUCGACACCAGCUACGAGACCGGCAAGCGCAUCUUCCACCUCCUCGAGGACUUGCAGCGCCUCACCGCGCGCUCCAGCCGCUACCUCUGGAUCCCCGGCAGCCAGUACUUCCCGAGCAAGUACAGGAGGGAGAUCGGGCGGCUGAACGGCGAGCUGGAGGGCGUCGUCAUGGAGUCCAUCCGCCGGAGCCGCGAGAUCGCCGACGAGGGCCGGACGACCUCCACCUACGGCCGGGGGCUCCUCGCCAUGCUGCUCGCGGAGAUGGAGAAGAAGAGGGAGAAGGGUGCAGGCGACGACGGCAAGUUCAGCUACGACACGCGGCUGGUGAUCGACGAGUGCAAGACCUUCUUCUUCGCCGGCCACGAGACGUCGGCGCUGCUGCUCACCUGGACGCUCAUGCUGCUCGCCACGCACCCGGAGUGGCAGGACAAGGCCCGCGCCGAGGUCUCCCAGGUCUGCGGCGACGACCCGCCGUCCGCCGACCAGCUCUCCAAAUUGACCGUGCUCCAGAUGAUCAUCCACGAGACGCUGCGGCUGUACCCGCCGGCGACGCUGCUGCCGCGGAUGGCGUUCGAGGACAUUCGGCUCGGCGAUCUCCACCUGCCGCGCGGGCUCUCGGUAUGGAUACCCGUGCUGGCAAUCCACCACGACGAGUCCAUCUGGGGCGCCGACGCGCAUGAGUUCCACCCGGAGCGGUUCGCCGCCGGGCGGCGCUCAUCCGCGGGCGCCGGCCGGUUCCUGCCGUUCGCGGCCGGGCCGCGCAACUGCGUCGGGCAGGCGUACGCCCUCUUCGAGGCCAAGGUCGUCCUCGCCAUGCUGCUGGCCAACUUCCGCUUCACCAUCUCCGAUGACUACCGCCACGCGCCGGUCAACGUGCUCACCCUCCGCCCCAAGUACGGCGUGCCCGUCCAUCUCCGGCCGCUCCGGCCGUAG